GCCAGCAGCCAUAUCACCCUGCAACUCACCACUGACAACCCCCUGGAGCUCAGCAGGUGUGAGCCGGGUCAGUACCUGGAUGGGAGACUCCAGGGAAAAACUAAGGUUGCUGCUGGAA
rnacentral:rRNA from 1 species